UCUUUACAGUGGUGACAGUAACGAGAAGUUGGGAUGUGUACAAUGUAAAUAUAGUAAUUUUACAGCUAUUUUAAAUUUUGUAAAUGACAGUAAACCUACAUCUGCCUUCUGAGUUUAUAUGGUGGUAAAGUAGUGGUGAAUCUGAAAUAAUCAGUUUUUAUUGGGUACUGUUUUGCCUCACAGCGCCCCGCAUGUAUCCCUUCACCAUGAAUGGACUGAUGAAGCAAAUUUAGAGGUAUUAAACUCUUCAGAAGUCUGGUUCCUGUCACCAUCACUGUUAACAAUUCAGACUCAGUAUGUUUCUCUAGAAUGGAGCAUCUUGCACCAAAGCACUCUGAAUGACUCUGUUUACAUCCCAAACAUGUACCAAUGUGCCUGAUCCAGCUCAUGAAGGGCUCCAUAAUCAGUUGAUGGGCUGGAUCAGGUGAAAUGAAAUAUAUAUUAAGGUAGUAUUUAUUGCUGUACAGUGUUGUGGGUCUCCAUGAGCAGGAUUAAAAAAAACAUGGUCUUAGACAGUUCAUUAGAUCAGAUACUGUUUAUGUUUUUUGUCUGCUUAUCUUUAUAGCAGAGCUACGAUACUACUUUGUUUAAGUUCUGAAAAUUUGUCUUAGACAGCUCACUCUGUUCUUACCUAAAACACACAUGCAUACUAAAUUUACUGAUUUUUGUGGUCAAAUCACAUUGCUCCUCAUUUACAGUAACACUGUAAAUGUAUUUGCACAUAAUUUUAUUCUGUACUUAUUUAUAUUUAAUUAAUUGUCUUUUGGUUUCUGUGUGUUUUUUUUUACAGGACGUCUUUCAAUCAGACAGUGCUAUUCUGUGAGAUCUUCAUAGACAACCUUCAUAACAGACAGUGUUGCCCUGUGAGUUCAUCUUCACAAGCCUCGCUGCUCUGUGUGCCUUCAUAGUUCCCUGAGGGGGUACAGGGCAUUCAUUUAAGCUGACCAGCUUACUUGGGUGCCUGUAGGUUAUACAGCACGUCCUCAAGCUGGUCAGCUUACUUGGUCCUGAGGAAAACUCCUGUCUUCCUCUGUCCACUUGCACCUGCAAGUACAACAAACCACAACGAACCAAAACGGCAAACAAACCAAAAUGAACCACAACGAACCAAAACGCCAAACGAACCACAACGAACCAAAGCAAACUACAAACCAAUUUCUGCAAAAACGACAAACCCAUUACUGAACCACAACAAACUGAUUUAUACAAAAAUGACAAACCCAUUACUGAACCACAACAAACUGAUUUCUACAAAAACGACUACUGAACCCCAACAAACCGAUUUCUACAAAAAAACGACAAACCCAUUACUGAAACACAUCCUUUGAAACACACAAAAAAACAAAUAAAAAACAAGCCUAGAAAAACAAUAAAUCCCUGUUUACUAACACUUCUUCAGUGUUUCCUUGACUUGUUUUAGGUCAAACAGUUGGCUAAAGAAGUGGAUUGUCAACAUCUGCAGUUGAAGACUGUCACCAUGUGCACCAUCUGCAGCUGAAGACCGUCACACACACUAUCGCCCCAUAAUUCACCAUAUACCUGAUUACCAUAUACCUCACCAGCAGUACAUUUCAACUGAUCAUUAUAUUUUUGUCUCAGCUGUAAAGCAUAAAAUCCUCCUUUAAGUCACAGACUACUUGAUUACAAAGUGUGAACACAGUUUAAGUAUUGUGUUAUUAUUCCAUAGAUAAAGAUUUUUGUAUUUACAGUUUGUUAGUAGCCUUGUUCAUAUUCAUAAUACUGCAGUACUACAAAUUGCCUUUGGGUUUGGUUAUUUAGUUUUAACAUAAGCUUUUAACAUUUAUAUUUGAUUUUGUAAUACUGAGUGCAUGCAUUUUGUCUAGUUACUUCUGUACCUUUAUAUUUAAUAAGUUAAUUUAUAAGUAAGAUUGUCUUUUGUAUUGUCAUUAAUAACUGUGUUUAAUAAAUAGGUAUAAUCACAUCUUUCUAAAACUGAUUUUAUUAAGUUUAUCCUUUACGAAGAUAUCAUCUUUUAGGUACUGACUUCACAAGUGGUGAGGACAGCAAACGUAACUUUAUUGCUGUUUCUAUAAGGUUUUAUUGCUGAAGUUGGUCUGAUCUAGUAAAGUGCACUGUUUAUAUUUUUUGGCUUUCAGAUUUGACAUUUUUCCUUAUUGUACUGUUUGUAUAAAUCUAUUAUUGCUUACUUAUUAAAAUUACAAAUCGUAUUUGUAUGUAAACUAUUGGAGUAUUAAACAUAGUCUUGAAUAGUG